GAUGAAGAACGCAGCGAAAUGCGAUAAGUAAUGCGAAUUGCAGAUUUCAGUGAGUCCUCGAAUCUUUGAACGCACCUUGCGCCCGCCCCUAUUCUGGCGGGCAUGCCUGUUCGAGCGUCAUUUCAACCAUCAAGCCCCCGGGCUUGCGUUGGGGCCCUGCGGCUGCCGCAGGCCCCGAAAAGCAGUGGCGGGCUCGCUGUCACACCGAGCGCAGUAGCGAUUCUCGCUCCGGGCGUCGGCGGCGGGCACCGGCCGUGAAACCCCCCCACAUCCACAAGGUUGACCUCGGAUCAGGUAGGAAUACCCGCUGAACUUAAGCAUAUCAAUAAGCGGAGGA
rnacentral:misc_RNA from 1 species